rnacentral:rRNA from 1 species
GACGAACGCUGGCGGCGUGCUUAACACAUGCAAGUCGAACGGAAAGGCCCUGCUUGCCGGGUACUCGAGUGGCGAACGGGUGAGUAACACGUGGGUGCUCUGCCCUGCACUUCGGGAUAAGCCUGGGAAACUGGGUCUAAUACCGGAUAGGAGCCAUUUUUAGUGUGAUGGUUGGAAAGUUUUUUCGGUGUAGGAUGAGCUCGCGGCCUAUCAGCUUGUUGGUGGGGUAAUGGCCUACCAAGGCGGCGACGGGUAGCCGGCCUGGGAGGGUGGACGGCCACAUUGGGACUGAGAGACGGCCCAGACUCCGACGGGGGGCAGCAGUGGGGAAUAUUGCACAAUGGGCGCAAGCCUGAUGCAGCGACGCCGCGGGGGGGAUGACGGCCUUCGGGUUGGAAACUCCUUUCGCUAGGGACGAAGCUUUUUGUGACGGUACCUAGAUAAGAAGCACCGGCUAACUACGUG